GCUAUACAUGCAAGUCGAACGAGUUCUCGUUGAUUCUCGGUGCUUGCACCGAGAUUCAACAUGGAACGAGUGGCGGACGGGUGAGUAACACGUGGGUAACCUGCCCUUAAGUGGGGGAUAACAUUUGGAAACAGAUGCUAAUACCGCAUAGAUCCAAGAACCGCAUGGUUCUUGGCUGAAAGAUGGCGUAAGCUAUCGCUUUUGGAUGGACCCGCGGCGUAUUAGCUAGUUGGUGAGGUAAUGGCUCACCAAGGCGAUGAUACGUAGCCGAACUGAGAGGUUGAUCGGCCACAUUGGGACUGAGACACGGCCCAAACUCCUACGGGAGGCAGCAGUAGGGAAUCUUCCACAAUGGACGCAAGUCUGAUGGAGCAACGCCGCGUGAGUGAAGAAGGCUUUCGGGUCGUAAAACUCUGUUGUUGGAGAAGAAUGGUCGGCAGAGUAACUGUUGUCGGCGUGACGGUAUCCAACCAGAAAGCCACGGCUAACUACGUGCCAGCAGCCCGCGGUAAAA
rnacentral:rRNA from 2 species